GAUGAACGCUAGCGACAGGCCUAACACAUGCAAGUCGAGGGGCAGCGCGGAGCAAGCUUGCUUGUUCUGGCGGCGACCGGCGCACGGGUGCGUAACAGGUGUGCAAUCUGUCCAUAAUCGGGGAAUAGCCCAGCGAAAGUUGGAUUAAUGCUCCAUGUGAGUUUUAGAGGCAUCUCUUUAAUUUGAAACGUAAGGAUUAUGGGUGAGCACGCUUCUGAUUAGGUAGUUGGUGAGGUAACGGCUCACCAAGCCGACGAUCAGUAGGGGUUCUGAGAGGAAGGUCCCCCACAUUGGAACUGAGACACGGUCCAAACUCCUACGGGAGGCAGCAGUGAGGAAUAUUGGUCAAUGGACGAAAGUCUGAACCAGCCAAGUCGCGUGAGGGAUGAAGGUUCUAUGGAUUGUAAACUUCUUUUGUCUGAGGGUAAAAAAGCGGACGUGUCCGUUCUUGCAAGUAUCAGACGAAUAAGCAUCGGCUAACUCCGUGCCAGCAGCCGCCGUAAAAC
rnacentral:rRNA from 1 species